rnacentral:rRNA from 1 species
AUUGAACGCUGGCGGCAGGCCUAACACAUGCAAGUCGAGCGAGCGGCGGACGGGUGAGUAAUGUCUGGGAAACUGCCUGAUGGAGGGGGAUAACUACUGGAAACGGUAGCUAAUACCGCAUACCAUCAGAUGUGCCCAGAUGGGAUUAGCUAGUAGGUGGGGUAACGGCUCACCUAGGCGACGAUCCCUAGCUGGUCUGAGAGGAUGACCAGCCAAACUGGAACUGAGACACGGUCCAGACGCCUACGGGAGGCAGCAGGGGGGAAUAUUGCACAAUGGGCGCAAGCCUGAUGGAGCCAUGCCGCGGGUAUGAAGAAGGCCUUCGGGUUGUAAAGUAAUUUCAGGGGGGAGGCGGUACCCGCAGAAGAAGCCCCGGCUAACUCCGUGCCAGCAGCCGCGGUUAUUC